ensembl:lncRNA
CUGACGUCUGCUCCUUUUUGCACUUUUUACUUCGUCUUUAGCAGAUCGGCCGGAUUCCAAUCAUGGAAAGAAGACCAAAAGAUGCCGUGAGGUCUCGACGGCUGGAAGUCUAUUUUGGCACACAUAGCGUUGCCGUGGUACGUCCUUCCUCUGCCUUCCCGAUGCGGUAACCUCCGUUCACUGGUUGGAAAAGACCAAGAUGGCGGCCGCUGUAAUCCAAGAUGGCGUCGGCCAAGAGGAGGCUUCAGAACAGCGGUCCACAAACCAGCGGGCGGGGGGGGGGGACACGUCCACUUCUCACGCGCGUCUCGUCUUGUCAUGACGUCUCCUGGAGGCUCCUGGCUGCCUUGUCCUCCUCAGCUUCUCGUCCCUCACCAGACCUCGUCUCGCCGUGAGUCUCCUUGACCUUCAUUCGUCCACGCUGCGGCUGUUUGGGAACGCGCUGCCUGCGCAGGUCGCCCCGUCCGAGGGUAUUUUCGGCGGCGUGUUCUUCGAGCCCGCGUGGUUCCGGCACUCCGCUCUUCCUGUUUGUGCUGUGGAUGAGAAAGCGAUGUCACCGAUGGGGUUUGAUGUCUUACAAAGAAC